UAUUUUUAACUUUACUUUACUAUUAACAGACCUAAAGGACAUUAGCUUUCAGUGCCUAUAAAACCCUUCAUACCAACUUAAUAUAUAGUGCACUGCACAAAGUCGAUGAGGAAGUCCUCCUCGAUGCUAAUCUUCAUCAUUGGCACUGACUUCUUGGCUCUCUUCCCUUUCGAAGAUUUUCCAGCCAUCACAAGGUAUGCGUAGCCCCAGAAGGUGUUCACCUUAGUCCCUCAUUUUCGCACCGAAUCAAGAUGGAACGCAACCAGCACGGACCUGGAAACUUUCACCCGAACUCGACAAAGGCAACCGGCGAAUGUGGCGCCCUUUUCACAGGACUCCGAUACCUUGGUGCUCCUCGUGUUUUGUUGUUGACACACACGUGUGUGUGGCGUCGAGUGGCACGUGGGUGAAAAUAAGCCAACCCCACUUUCACUUUUCCUCCCAAACGUCUCACGAUUUCGAGACGUUGCCGCCGCCACCAGUGCCCCCGAUUCUAAUACCGAAUCCGAAUCGGUAUUCGAGUCCGAUUCCUGUUUGGGCUACCCCAUCGCAUGUUAGAGCAUUUAAUGCUAGGCGUAAUGACAUGACACCAAUGUCAAUAUUUCGACAAAGUGUACGGCGUAGUGUGUCAACAAGUUUCCAACGCGCAGAGCCACAAGUUUUACGGAGUUCGGUGCUGAGGGUGAGCUUAAUAGUUUAAGGUCUCGGUCAAAUUUAGUCGAGUAUUAAAGGUAGCAUAGUGUUUUGUUAAACUUGGGACCUAUUAGGUAUUACAUUUUAUUUUUUUAUUAUACUCGAAAUAAGUUUGCCUUAUUUGCAAUCAGAUAGUUUAUUUGCUUUUAAGGAGUUAUCUUAAUUAUUUCCUUAAUCGAACUAUUAUUUUUGAUUUUUUUCUAUUUAAGUAUUUUCUUAUAUUUCCAUUGACUUAAAAGAAGAACUUUUUAAUUAUAUUUAAUUAUUCGUAAUUCUAAGAAUGGAUUAUAAUUAAAGCACAACCGAAUGUAAA